AUGGCUCAGAGUGAACGCUGGCGGCAGGCCUAAUACAUGCAAGUCGAACGGCAGCACAGCAGAGCUUGCUCUGUGGGUGGCGAGUGGCGGACGGGUGAGGAAUACGUGGGAAUCUGCCCAGUCGUGGGGGAUAACGUAGGGAAACUUACGCUAAUACCGCAUGCGCCCUUCGGGGGAAAGCCGGGGACCUUCGGGCCUGGCGCGAUUGGAUGAGCCCACGUCGGAUUAGCUAGUUGGCGGGGUAAAGGCCCACCAAGGCGACGAUCCGUAGCUGGUCUGAGAGGAUGAUCAGCCACACUGGAACUGAGACACGGUCCAGACUCCUACGGGAGGCAGCAGUAGGGAAUAUUGGACAAUGGGCGCAAGCCUGAUCCAGCCAUGCCGCGUGAGUGAAGAGGGCCCUCGGGUUGUAAAGCUCUUUUGUCCGGAAAGAAAAGCGCCGGGUUAAUACCCUGGUGUCCUGACGGUACCGGAAGAAUAAGCACCGGCUAACUUCGUG
rnacentral:rRNA from 1 species